CGGAUCGAGGAUUCGUCCAAGUGAAGUAGAGGACAGUGGCGGACGGGUGAGUAACGCGUGAGGAACCUGCCUUUCAGAGGGGGACAACAGUUGGAAACGACUGCUAAUACCGCAUGACACAUUGGGGUCGCAUGGCCCUGAUGUCAAAGAUUUAUCGCUGAAAGAUGGCCUCGCGUCUGAUUAGCUAGUUGGUGAGGUAACGGCCCACCAAGGCGACGAUCAGUAGCCGGACUGAGAGGUUGACCGGCCACAUUGGGACUGAGAUACGGCCCAGACUCCUACGGGAGGCAGCAGUGGGGAAUAUUGGGCAAUGGGCGCAAGCCUGACCCAGCAACGCCGCGUGAAGGAAGAAGGCUUUCGGGUUGUAAACUUCUUUUGUCAGGGACGAGUAGAAGACGGUACCUGACGAAUAAGCCACGGCUAACUACGUGCCAGCAGCCGCGGUAAUACGUAGGUGGCAAGCGUUGUCCGGAUUUACUGGGUGUAAAGGGCGUGUAGCCGGGAAGGCAAGUCAGAUGUGAAAUCCACGGGGCUCAAACUCGUGAACUGCAUU
rnacentral:rRNA from 1 species